UGCUGAAUUGGUACGUCCCGCAGUACUUCGUGUGAGCGUGUUGACUGACUGAAAGUACCGAGUUGCACUGUGAACGGGUUUGUCGGGUUUUAGCUUCGAGGUACAGGCACAAACAAACAGCAUGCUGGGAGUGGAGCGGGCAGCCGAAUGGGUGUGGCCCUGAUCCCGCGCUCCGGGGCUGUGACCAAAUAGAAAUCAGCUCAAGAAAAAUGGCUCGAAACGUGAACUUUGACCAUGACUACGGUUUGUUGGAAGAUGGAUUAGGGAGUCCAGUGGAUGAAGCGGGGGUUCACGACUCGUUCCAUCAGCUGAUCGAGGAGCAGAGUCAAAACGCUGAAUUCUCGGAGGCCUAUGAGCUACAGCAGCUGCAGAGGGAGCUGGAGGAGGAGGGGAGAGAUGAUGUGGCGUACUUGUCCAGUCCCAGUAAUGACCUCUACAGGAGGAGACAAAAGAGUCCAGAGGAGGCAGAAGAGGGGCAGACGGACACUUUAAUGGGGGAGCGAUGGUCCUCUGACACUCUCAAAGUCCUGUCCUCCAUGCCCAGUCGAACCAUUGGCCGAAACAGAGGAGCCAUCAUCUCUCAGUAUUACAACCGCACCAUGCAGCUGCGCAGGCGGCGACAGAGCAGACCCUCCAUCAAAGACUUCUCCCGAUCGUCCCGUCCCAGUAUCCGAGGCUACGGCAUCGAGGCGGACAGCACAGACACAGAUGGGACAGAGGGAGUCAGUAAGAGGGACCGUUUGGUGAACAACCUCCAGAACCUGUCGGUGACUGACAGGGUGAGGAUGUUGCGGGAGAUGCCUCUCAGCUUCACUGAAAAAUCAGAACUCAGGCGGUUGGCGUUACAGAAGGAGCAUCGCACCAUGUCAGGUCGUCAGAUCCCCUGCUGCAGUGGCCUAAAGUAUUACAUUAUAAUUGUGGCGAGGCGGGGCUGGUACAGCUGGCUGUCAUUCCUGCACUCCCUGCAGCUCUGGCAGGUGGCACUAAAGAGGGUCAGCGGACGCUUUGGGACGGGGGUGUUGUCUUACUUCCUCUUCCUCCAGACACUGCUUUUCUUCAACCUCUUCCUCUUCCUUGUCACUUUGGCCUUUUUGGUGAUCCCCCAAGUGGUGCAGCCACCUGACCCCCACCCACAGAACCUCCCCUUCAAGGGACUGGAACUACUCUCAGGGGGGGGAUACUUCUCAGACACUGUGAUGUACUUUGGGUACUACUGUAACUACACAUUGGGUUGCAGAGGUGAUGAAACCAAAGGGGAGUGUCGAUCUACACUCUCGUACAACAUGCCACUGGCCUAUUUCUUUACCAUUUUAGCCUCAUUUUUCAUCACCUGUAUCAUCCUUGUUUACAGUAUGUCGAAAUCUUUUGGUAAAAGCUUCAGAAUUGACAAAUCGCACAGUGUUUUGGCUAUGAAGGUGUUCUGCUCCUGGGACUUCAAAGUCAUCAAAAAGACUUCUGUGAAACUCAUGUCCGAGAAUAUUCACACACAAAUAAAGGAGCUGUUGGCAGAGGUGAACCACAGUCAGGUUGAAAACACUGUGUGUCAGAGGCUAUGGGUAGUCACAGUUCAUGGUAUAGCAUGGGCCAUCUGCAUCGCCACCACCACUGGAUGUGCUUUUGGCAUUUACUACUUCUCUGAUUACAUGCACAAGAAUUUGGAGCACCUGUCCCGUAUUAUCAAAAAGGACCCUAUUGUGACCGAGGCGAGUAUGCUGGCCCUCCCUGUGCUGGUGUCUGUGAUAAACCUGUUAGCUCCUGGUUUGUUCAACGCUGCUGCCUGGAUGGAGGAGUACAACUCGCCUCCUGUCCGCACUUAUGUGGCCAUUAGCAGAAAUUUGAUGCUCAAAAUGAGUGUGCUGGGAGUCCUUUGUUACCACUGGUUGUUCCGUGUUGCAAAAGACCCUGGGAGUAUUGGCUUAACGUGCUGGGAAACAUUUGUUGGACAAGAACUGUAUCGCUUCCUGAUUAUAGACUUCAUUUUCACACUAUUGGACACUUUGUUUGGAGAGUUUCUUUGGAGACUGUUUUCAGAGAAGAUGCUAAAGCGCCGGAGGAAGCCUGUGUUUGAUAUCCCCAAAAAUGUCUUGGACCUUAUUUAUGGACAGACGUUGGCUUGGUUAGGUGUCCUCUUCACCCCAAUACUCCCAGCAGUGCAAGUGCUUAAACUCCUGUUGCUUUUUUACAUAAAGAAGGGGAGUGUGAUGAUGAACUGUCAGGCCCCCAGGAAGCCGUACAGAGUGAGCCAGAUGACCACAGUGUUCAUCACGCUCCUCUGUAUCCCAUCUUUUGUGGGAGUAUCUGUCUGUGUCAUAUAUACCAUGUGGAGUAUUGCCCCAUCCUCUUCAUGUGGUCCGUUUCGAGGGCUCGACACAAUGAUCCAGGCGGGAAAGAGCUGGGUACAGAACCUGGAAAAGGAGAACCCCAAACUGGCAGUGUUGGCCAGAGCACACUCCUAUUUGGUUGAACACCCGUUUUUCCUGUUUGUCGGAGCAGGCAUCUUUCUAAUAAUCAUCUACUUCCACAGUCAGGUGGUUGAUGGGCAGAGGAAAAUCAUUGACCUGCUACAAGAACAAAUAAAAAAUGAGGGAGAGGACAAAAAGUUUCUCAUCACUCGUCUUCAGUACAUCCAUGAAAAAAGGCGGACUCCAGCACGAAGACUUACCAGUCAGGACUCUUGCUGUUGAAUGGGCUCCUUUUUAAACACUGGGACAAACCUGGACGAGCUAAUAACUGGAGUUUAAUUUGAAUCAAGUAUAUAUAUAUAUAUAUAUAUAUAUAUAUAUAUAUACAAAAAAAUUAUUAGUUUUUUUAUAGCUGCACUUUUAGACCAACUGUGAACUUUUGGUUUCACCUGUUUUUAUACUUUUGUUACACUGUAUAAUGUAGAUCAGCCUGAAUGUUGUUGGUUUAUGUAUGAGAGUAUUGAAAGGUGUUUUAGUAUUGUUUUAGUGUUAUAAAUUAAAUUAUGUUAUACUUUUUAAACAAUAGACUUGCUUGCCAAUUAACUAUUACAGUAAUACAAAAGGUUUAUUUUUUAUUACUUUGAGAAAAUUUUUGUAGCUUUAUUAGCAAGCUUUAAAAGUAAUAUUAUUAUUAUUAAAUUAUUAUUCAUCCAAGUAAGAACAAGCAGCAUAUUUGGUGAAAAGUAGAAACAGCAGCACCAUAGAGGGAUGACUGUAGAGAGCACCAAUACUUCCCUUAGAGAUUUUGUCUGCCUAUACAAAAAUAGUAAUAACACAAUACAACAGUGCCUCUGUCUUUGUCCACACAGCUCCAAGUUAGAGCAGCAUAUCUAUGUACUAAGCUUAACUCGACCGGCACAGUAUGUACAAUUGUCCAGUUUUGAAGACAAUAUUUCCCAAGCACAAUGAUUUAUGCGAGUCCUGUUGUGCCUAGUGCUUUGCUGUUUGUGUAUAUUCAGCUUCAUCUUCAUAGUACAGUUGUGAGUCUCAGCUGCCAUUGUUGAGCAUACCCAGUAGCUUUCGGGGGUCCAUGCCUUGCUGCUGAGCCAUUUUCUGCACAUCGAAACCCAUGUGCUUGAGGAACUGUAUGACGCUCAUCUCCUGCCCUGUCAGCUGGUCGCGGAUGGUGGGGCAGGUGGGGUUACAGUGGGGCCAGGGGCAGCUGUCCACUAGGUGCACAGGGCAGCCCCUCAGAGGUGUCCGCUGCUUUAGGGUGCUGUGGUUCCCAUGGCUCACAUUUGUAUUGUCCUGCAGGCUACGGUCCCAACAGUGCAGAGCUCGAGGUAAAGACGUGCCUUUGACUUGAAUCUCCAUCCAGUUUCUGCAUAUGAGAAAAAACAGCAAAUGUAUUUAUCUACAAUUAAAAGCAAACUUUUUUUUGUAUGGUGAAGAGUGCUCAAAAUGCCACCUAUAAACUGGAAGCUGAAACCCAUGAUUUUCCCACCUUUCAACAUUACAACAACAUUCCUAUGUGAAAGGAAUGUUUAUGUUUCUAAUAUAACAAACAUCUGCAAUUUAAUGUGUCCAUUAAAAAGGCAGUAUAAGCCCACCAGAUUGUAGCUUUAUUUAAGUGCUGAUCAAACUAAUUACUUACGUUCUGGUGAUGAGUUCAUGUGAGAGACAGGCUGGAGAGAAAAUGGCCCUGCCACAGAAACAUAAAAAUAUUAAUUCUUUAUUUUUGUAAACAAAAAUAAAGAAAUAUUGUACGUGUGUGAUCUUCUUACGAGACGUCCCGCAGUGUGGCUCUCAGCUCCUGCCCCAGCGUCUGGAUGUACCUCCAUUGCCCCUCAUGGACAGGCUGACCUGUGAGGUGUACAUUAUCCACUGUAAGCUGGGCCUCGUCAAACAACCACUGCACCACAAACACUGGACCUGGAGAGGGACAUUAUUAGUUGGAUGGACAGGGCCAGUUUUAGCAAUAGGCACAAACAUGUACAUGUAAUGCAUAAGCUUUAGUAUAUUGACCAUUUAUAUUAACAGUCUUUGUUUUUACUUACUGCUCAGAGUGGGAAAGACUUUAUAUCCAAAGAAGCAGUUCCACUCUUCUCCAACAUGAGCCUGUCUGCAGUUUUCUGGCACUUGUGCACCCCAAUAUCUGUAAUAACAAAAAUAAAAAAACAUGACUUAAAUGUUACACAUA